rnacentral:lncRNA from 1 species
AUAUAUAUAUAUAUGCAAUUUUAGUAAAAAUAGUAGGUUCGGCGAAACGGGACCAUCAUCAAUCAUUAAGAGUGAAAGCGUGGGCGAGUAGGACUCUGCCCCGUCCAGUACUUGAAUGGAUGUUAAUGUUUCGUGAUUCUCCUUCAUUAAUUAUUUUUUGUUCAAUUUUGUAACGUCCAGGAAAAGUGCUUGUGCGAUUUGGCAUUUUCAGUCAAGGCAUCUUAAUAUCUUUUAUAAUCAUUUAAUAUAAUUAAUGGUUGGUUCCUGCUUGGGAUUGUGAAACUUCGCAUAUAUUGCUUUUGAUUUUGUUGUUUUUGAUGAAUCAAACAAAGUACCCCAAGCAAACAUACACAACCAAAUUUGGGCAUGUAACAUGUUCAUACUAAAAAUAUGAUAACAUCAAUUAAUGUUUAAAGGAAAAAAAAUAAGUCAUAAAAUUUAUCAUUUUUUCCACAAUCAAAAUCCCUUAAUUUCGCCAAUGGACUACAACUCUUGCUAAUAGGGAUUAAUUUGGCUCCCUAAGUUAGAAGUAAAAUAUAAAUCUUUGUUUUAAUAUUAAGUGAGGGUCGUUCGCAGGGUACCAUAGUAGAAAUAUGAAAAUUUGAGUCCCGAUUGAUUUAUAAUUAUAAAAUAUCAGUAGAAUUCUAAUUGUAAUACAUUAAUAUAUAAAAAAAUCCUACAAUUUCUUUUCUUUGUUUUUCCCAAACAAAAACAGCCCCAUUAAUUACUUGACAGUCAAUAUUAUCGACAAGGGUGUUGUUAAGUUACAUUAUAAUGUAACUUAUAUCAACCUAGAAGUUGUCACUAAUGACCUGAAAAAUAAUUUAAUUGGUUCUACUUUUAAGUCACUAGUUAUAAUUUAGUGACUAAUAUAAGUUACAUCAUAAUAAUGUAACUUAACAAGACCGUAUCAACAAAAAAAAAAAAAAAAGUCAUCAAUCAUUAAUGAGAUUGACGACUAUGUUUCAUCCCAAGGGGCACGCACGUUUGCAUGAACGGUGGUUGGAACAUUUUUUCUAUCGACGUUGAAAAUGAACGAGUGCAUAAUACAUAAAUCAAAGUCAAGUCCACGUACAGCUUGCACCACACGGUAGAUUCCUAGACCUAGCCCCCUUGAGACGCUAAACUAAUGUCGUAUGCAUAUGAAUAUUAAUUAUUUUUGCAUGAUUAGUUAGUUAACAGAUGGACGCCAAGAAAAAAAGAAAAAAAAAAAAAACUCUCAUUUUAUUGAGAUUGGUCGAGACAAAUCAAGAUUACUCCCACUUUUCUUCCUAUUUUUAUUAUUUUUAUUUUAUUUUUUUGGUUUGGGCGGUGUAUGGCUUCCUAGCCAAGAUGAUGAUUCAUUGAAUGUUUUUCAUCUUCUAGAUGGUACCGAAACCAACCUAACCUUCAAGUCCAUUGGCAACACGUAGUCGCCAUGUAGUGAAAUCAGCAUCUCAACAUAAUCUCCCAAGUGAUUUUUUUUUUUUUUUUUGUUCGGUUGGUUACUUUUUGAAAUAUUAUCGAAGUGCUAUGAACUUUAUUCCGCGAUUCAUGAAUAAUCUUCGUCAAUGGACUCAACGCCGGCCCUCGCAUGCAGAGUAAUCCAUUCAAUUUUGACAAUCGCUUUCAAUCUCUCUCUCUUUUGUUGACUGCUUCCCUUUUCUUUUUUUUUGUUUUGUUUCUGAUUUGGCACAUGCGCAUCAGCGUCAAGUAUCAUCAUGAGUAAAACCUGUAGCCGCGUUUGAACUUCACACAAUCUAACUUUCAAUUCAAGAACAAGAAGCAUCGAAAUUGGAAAUAAAAUGGGGGGGAAAUUCACAUUUUCUCCCUACAAUUUUGAGUUUCAUCACUUAGAUUUUAGGCUGUCAUUGCUGUAUUAAUUAUUGGGGUUGUGUAUGUAUUGUCAACAUUUUUUUACCUAAUUACUCUUUCAUUUUCUACCCUUUGAAGGUAUCCAGACUGUAAAGUGCGUUAUUCUUAAAGGUAUCAUAAUUAAACCCUAAUUUCUCUACACGCUACAAAGGGUUAGGUGGCUUAACCUAAAAUUAUAGGGAAGAAAAAAAAUUGCCAUCCUCCAAAUAGUAAAAGAAAUAUAUAUAUAUAUAUAUAUAUUGAAAGAAUAUGAAAAGUAGUGUUUAAAAAAUUAAAAGAAAUUAGAAAUUGGACAGUCAAUGAAAUUUCUUCCGAAGAAUAGAUUUCGUUUUAUUUUAACUCAAUAAUAUUCAAUUAGGAAAUGGUUGAAAAUUUUGCAGCCUAAUAAAUUAACUAGAAGAAAAAUUGUUUUGACGUAGACAAUUUGAUUUGAAGCCAAUGAAUGACCUAAUAUUACAACAUAUGCAUAUGUGUUUUUAAUUGUUCGUACAUAACCAAGUCAAAAAUGCAAGGUCGAGGGAAGAUUUCUCGCUAUAACUUUGGCGUUACGAUUUGUAAUUCUUUAAGGUCACAACUACUUAUUUGUUUAAUGGAUUUGGUUAAAGUAAAUGAUGCUGUGAUUAUGAUGAAUUUCUUUAACAUUACAUUAAUUACGUUGUCGGAUCUUUCACGACCGUAUUAUUUGACUUUGAAUAAUGCAAUUAUCAAAGGAUAAUUUAUAAUACAAAUUAGAAACGAUCAACCCACCUGAAAAUUGUCGGGAGAAUAUUAAUAGAGUAGAGAUAUUUGCACUCUAAAAAUUACUUUGAACAAUAAAAUUUGAAUAAAAUAACUUAUUAUAAAAAUACUCCUCGUAUGAAUUGCUAUUAGGGAUAAUUUAUUAUAAGUUAAUAUUGCAUAAUUACUUUAGACACACAUAUAGCACACUUAGGAAUGGCAGAGAUCUCCACAGGGACAGUGGCUCUGGGAGAUUUUCCUCAAUGAUUUUAUAUCUAAUUUCUUAUUUAGGGAAGGGACGGGGAUGAGGUGGAAUCAUCAUAUCAUCCCUAUUUUUAUUUUUAUUUUUAUGGAAUUAUUAGUGAGUAAAUAAUAAAAUUUAAAUUGUAAAAUAUUGAAUAUUGUGUAAAUAACAAAUAUCAAAAUAUUUAUACAAAUAAUAUAAAUAUUAGUUAAUAUAAAGACUUGGAAGUAACUUAGACUUAACGACAAUCUAACCCACAACCUCACAAGUGCACUAUCUACAAAUCAAACCUAAGUUAUUAUGUCACAGACUCACUCAUUUUUUCCAAAUUAUUCACACCGCAGUCAGUGGUGGUGCCAGGAAUUUAAUCUAGCUAGGGCUAAAUUUAAAUAAUAAUAUAAUUUAAAUGGUCAACCAGUAACACAGACCAAAAUAAAAAUUCAUUAAUAUGUUCAAUUCAAUACAUUUAUAACUGACCUCGACUUGUUUUUAUAUGUUAAAAAAAAUUGAAGAAUAACCUUAUCUUCAAGCAUACAAAAUAAAUCUUUUUUUCUAUAUAUACAACAAUAAUAUCACUCAAUCAUUGAUCUCUCAUCUGAUUUUAUAGAUUAUUUUUCACAAAAUUCAUAGCCAUUUUUUUUUACUAUAGUUAUGAGAACUAGUAAAAAUAAUAAAUAAAUUAAUGAAUACAAUUUAUCCUUUUUAUUAUCAACUAUUUUUCUUCUUAACUUAUCAAUUCCUUUCAAAUUUUGAAAAUUUGUUAUCAUAACUCACUUCUAUAAUGUAAAUAUUAAGUUGAAUUUUAAGUGUCAUAAGACUCAUUAGAGAAAAAUCAUUUGGAUAAACUCAUUGAGGUGAAAUAGUUUUUUUUUUUUUUUUUGUGUGUGAGGAGAGUUAGGGCUGGAGAAACUUCAAAAUACAAUGUUUCUUUGUAGGUUGGAAAUGUAAAAAAAUAAAUACU